rnacentral:rRNA from 1 species
AACGAACGCUGGCGGCAGGCUUAACACAUGCAAGUUGAACGGGAUUUGCUAGGUGCUUGCACCGAGCAAUGAGAGUAGCGCACUGGUGAGUAACACGUGGGAACGUACCUUUUGGUGGGGGACAACAGUUGGAAACGACUGCUAAUACCGCAUAAGCCCUGAGGGGGAAAGAUUAAUCGCCGAAAGAACGGCCCGCGGAAGAUUAGGUAGUUGGUGGGGUAAAGGCCUACCAAGCCUACGAUCUAUAGCUGGUCUGAGAGGACGAUCAGCCACACUGGAACUGAGACACGGUCCAGACUCCUACGGGAGGCAGCAGUGAGGAAUAUUGGGCAAUGGAGGCAACUCUGACCCAGCCAUGCCGCGUGAGUGAAGAAGGUUUUCGGAUUGUAAAGCUCUUUCGGGUGAGANG